UACGGAGGGGGCAAGCGUUGUCCGGACUUACUGGGCGUAAAGGGUGCGUAGGCGGUUGCAUGCGUCCGCGCUGAAAUCCCGAGGCUCAACCUCGGGGCGCGUGCGGAUACGAUGCGACUUGAGGCUCGGAGAGGGUGGGAGAACUCCUGGUGUAGUGGUGAAAUGCGUAGAGAUGUGGAGGAAUACCGAUGGCGAAGGCAGCCCCCUGGGAUAACACUGACGCUCAUGCACGAAAGCGUGGGGAGCAAACAGG
rnacentral:rRNA from 1 species